rnacentral:rRNA from 1 species
GUAGGUGGCAAGCGUUGUCCGGAAUUAUUGGGCGUAAAGCGCGCGCAGGCGGUUCUUUAAGUCUGAUGUGAAAGCCCUCGGGCUCAACCGUGGAGGGUCAUUGGAAACUGGAGAACUUGAGUACAGAAGAGGAAAGCGGAAUUCCACGUGUAGCGGUGAAAUGCGUAGAGAUGUGGAGGAACACCAGUGGCGAAGGCGGCUUUCUGGUCUGUAACUGACGCUGAGGCGCGAAAGCGUGGGGAGCAAACAGGAUUAGAUACCCUGGUAGUCCACGCCGUAAACGAUGAGUGCUAAGUGUUAGGGGGUUUCCGCCCCUUAGUGCUGCAGCUAACGCAUUAAGCACUCCGCCUGGGGAGUACGGCCGCAAGGCUG